GAUUGCUGGAAAGAAGCCAGAGAACAUUCUUAGGAAGAAAGCAACCCGAUGGUGCUAACAUGCAGGAUCAAGGUGCAUGGGUACACAUUAACCGCCAAGGGCACAGGGCUCUCCCCCUCCACAUGUGUGCUGCAAAAGUCCUGGAACGCUCAAUGUCAAAAUACACCUGACACUGGACUCUUAAAUCCAAUCUGCAGGUGAAGGCAACCCAGGCACCACUCAAGUUCUGAUGAGCCAGCGGAGAUCAUGUCUUCUGAAAGGUGUUUCAAUGACUUCAGGCCCACCUGGAUAAUGCAGGACAAUCUUCCCACCUCAAGGGUCUUCCCUCUCCCCAACACCAUGUCUGAAGAAGUUACACAAAUGAGAAAAAGUGGCUGCUCACCUUAGGCCCUUUAGGACCUCACCAUCCAAAUCAGUAACCACACUCGAAGACCACCCUUCCAGACUGUCCCUGAGACUUCUUUCCAGACUCCACUGUUUAUUUGUUUGCAAAAUGCUUCUUUCAUGUGUAAGCAGGACAAAGUAGAGGUCACAAUGACAAAGUUCUGGAGAAGACCUGAAUACCUGAUAACCCCUUUAAAUAACAUUCUUGUGACCUGUGUCUUCCUCACAGAAAUUUUCUAGUUUUCAGCAACUUCUUCUGUUCCAUUUGUCCCCAAACUUCUCACUCCCCUGGCCAAGCCCAAGAACAAUGCUGAUCAGAUUACAGUCUCUCCAUGUUCAUAGCGAAGUUCAAAGUAUAAUGGCCUGCAUGGAAAGUGAUUGCGCAACAAGCUGACCGACAGACAUGUUCUACAAUGGACACUCUGCCACCCAUUCACUGAAAUCAGAGUGACCGCAGGACUAUUUGGAACAAAAGUGAGCCACACUGUGUAUUUACUUUUUUUUUUUGGUACAAAUUAUCUCUCUCUCUUUUUUUUAAGGAGACAUAACCACAGAUUUUACAGAAUUUAAAAGGAUAUAGAAAGCAUAUUACAAAAAUCUUUUUUUAAAUAAAUUUGAUAACUUCUAAGAAGUACCUUGGAAGACAAAUUAAUGAAACUAACUCUGGAGGAAAUAUAAAAUUUGAAUAGCACCUAUUAA
rnacentral:lncRNA from 1 species